ensembl:lncRNA
CCUGGCCUGAGUCACUAAGAAAUUUGGGCUGCUGGGAAUAUGCUGUCUGCCAUUAGGCUGGGAGAUGAGAGUGUUUGCUGGCUUGGAAAAGGAUGAUCCACAGGCCUCUGUCAUGCUGGCAUCUGGGGUAAGUAGCACCUUUUAACAGUGCAACCAGUGUGUGGAAAGCCAGAGUCAGAGGAGGAUUGCUGCAGUUAUAGCUAUGACUUCAUUGGUAUGCAGCAAACAGCCUUCAGAGUCAGGUAUCUUCAAUAAAGACAGUUCUUCCAGUAUGACUACAUCAAACUGCUGAGAUAUCAACUGCUUCCUAGUAAAUACAGUGAAGUGCAGGACCUCAGAAUACCAGGAAUCCUUCUGGUGAGAGUUGAUAUUUCAAGCCCUUCG